GCCCGAUGGAUCGCCUCGCGCCGUGGCCGAGCGCUCUUUGGGGUUUCUCGCCGCUGCAGAGCAUAACGCGAGUCGAAAACACGCCGCGCGGCGGCGCGAGCAACUCCACAACGCAGUCGCAGUCUGCUCCCUACUCCGUCGCGUUCCCGCCGCCGCCGCCGCCGCCGCCGCCGCCGCGAGUUGGUAUAGUAGCCGGCUUGCUCCCCCCUUAUCCGCGCCGUUCGCCCGUGCACUUGAAACGCUGCCUCUGAUGCAUGUAUAUAGACAUGCGUGUGUGAAGCCGUUGCAGUGGAUGUUAUACGCGGAGGAGCCAGACGAGGAGAGGUUAUUGGAGAGGAUCGAGAGCGUCGUCGAGGAGGGUUACCUUUGCGCUUAAAUGACGCUGAUGUAUAUCAGCGCCACCACGUUGCGAGUGUGAGGAAGCACGAUGUUAUCGACGGUAUUUCAGAAGUUGGUAAAGAAGAGAACUUUUCUAUACUCGUUAGAUAUCAUGAAGCUGUAAGCGAUAAAUUGUUUACGUAAUAAACAAUCCAUUGGAAUUCGACAGAACACCUCUUAAUUGAAUCAAUAAAUGUUAUACUAUU